GACGAACGCUGGCGGCGUGCUUAACACAUGCAAGUCGAACGAAGUGGCGAACGGGUGAGUAACGCGUAAUCAAACUGCCCUUCAGAGGGGGACAACAGUUGGAAACGACUGCUAAUACCGCAUACGGAAGGAGGUGAUUGUGUCGGAUUAGCUAGGUGGAGGGGUAACGGACCACCAAGGCGAUGAUCAGUAGCCGGGCUGAGCGGAUUGACGUCCACUUUGGGACUGAGACACGGCCCAGCCUCCUACGGGAGGCAGCAGGUGGGAAUCUUCCGCAAUGGACGAAAGUCUGACGGAGCAACGCCGCGGGAGUGAUGACGGCCUUCGGGUUGUAAAGCUCUGUUAAUCGGGACGCGGUACCGGAAUAGAAAGCCACGGCUAACUACGUGCCAGCAGCCGCGGUAAUUC
rnacentral:rRNA from 1 species